rnacentral:rRNA from 1 species
CGUGGGUAACCCGCCUGUAAGACUGGGAUAACUCUGGGAAUUUGGGCUAAUACCGGAUGGUUGUUUGAACCGCAUGGUUUAAACAUAAAAGGUGGCUUCGGCUUCCACUUACAGAUGGACCCGCGGCGCAUUAUCUAGUUGGUGAGGUAAUGCCUCACCAAGGCACCGAUGCGUAGCCCACCUGAGAGGGUGAUCGGCCACACUGGGACUGAGACACGGCCCCGACUCCUACGGGAGGCAGCAGUAGGGAAUCUUCCGCAAUGGACGAAAGUCUGACGGAGCAACGCCGCGUGAGUGAUGAAGGUUUUCGGAUCGUAAAGCUCUGUUGUUAGGGAAGAACAAGUACCGUUCGAAUAGGGCGGUACCUUGACGGUACCUAACCAGAAAGCCACGGCUAACUACGUGCCAGCAGCCGCGGUAAUACGUAGGUGGCAAGCGUUGUCCGGAAUUAUUGGGCGUAAAGGGCUCGCAGGCGGUUUCUUAAGUCUGAUGUGAAAGCCCCCGGCUCAACCGGGGAGGGUCAUUGGAAACUGGGGAACUUGAGUGCAGAAGAGGAGAGUGGAAUUCCACGUGUAGCGGUGAAAUGCGUAGAGAUGUGGAGGAACACCAGUGGCGAAGGCGACUCUCUGGUCUGUAACUGACGCUG